rnacentral:misc_RNA from 1 species
UUUCUGCGCGGGGUCGUCUCUGUGGUGUGCUCUCUCGCCCUCUCCGAUGACGUGCCCGACACGCCCGUACAAGAGAACAAGGGAAGAAACGAAAAAAAAAACAGUACGCACACGCGAGUGUCGUUCGCGAGAGGCUCCCGACGAGGCAACGGGGCCGGCCAUCCAGAGGAAUACGUAAAGGUCUGCGCCGGGCGAGGAGGGCACUCUCCGUAGUGAGGUCCAGUGGCUCUCUCACAGCCACGUUGACAAGGUUGCCAUCUCUCGAAGCAUCUGCGCCCGAGUCGAAAGGCUGUGCGUCUGCUUGUCACGUUGUGUGUGUGUAUGUGUGUGUUUGCUUAUGAGUGUCGUUCGACCGGCUCCUGCCACCCACCUACCCAUAUAGACAUUCAUCCCUCUCCCGGUUUCAUACAUUCUCUCUCUGUCUGGAUCUUUGUUUUUGCACGCUGGAGCUGCGCCAAGUGCUCCCCCUUCCCCCCCCCCAUCCCUCCCUCCCUCUUGUCUUUUUUCUUUUUCCUGCUGUGUGUGUGUGUGUGUUGUCUGUGCGUGCACACUUGCAGCAACCUACCACUCACCUGCCCUUGUCUGUUCUCGUUGGCUCUUCUAGAUUGUGUCUCUUCUUUAUGUUGUUGUUGUUUUCGCGCCUUCUUUCACUCCCUCUUUCCCAUCCCUCAGUGAGUCUCCCUUCUGGCACGUACACACACGCACCAACGCCACCACCACCACCCCUUAGAGCUUCCAUCUCUCUCUCUCUCUUGGCCGUUUUGCAGUGCCGACCUUUUCGUAUUCUGUUGCCUCACCAACACCACCACCACCGUCGUGGCGGGCUCGUGCGCUCUCCUCUCUCUACUCACUCUUUCUCUGCGAAACCGACGUGCUCCCCGUGCGUCAAUACAGAGCAGCAUGAACGGCGACGGCGCAUCGUCCACGGGCACGACGCUAUCCGCGUCGACAGCGUCGCACAGGCUACUCCUCGGCAAUGAAACCAGUGCAACAAAGGUGUUUGUGCGCGUGCGCCCCUUCAGCGCGGCCGAGCGCGGCAAAGGCGAUGCCGAGCCAAUGACGAUCGUCACCGUCAGCGACGAGCAUCCGUCGCACAUUACCACGCUAGACCCGAGCAAAGGCUACCAGCCGAAGGCGACGUAUGUGUUCGAUCGCUGCUUCAACAGCGCCACCGCUUGUGUGGCCGAAGAGGCGCAGCGGCUUUUGUUGGGCAAUGGCAAGGACAUGGGCAUGGCGCCGACCGCCUUGACAGCGCUGGAGGAGGUCAGUGCAGAGGGCUCAAUCAACCCCAUCUUGCUAGAAUGUCUCAAACGUGAUCAGGCCGCCGUCUACGGCCAUGUCGGGCGGCCGGUGCUGCUCAACGCACUAGCCGGCUACAAUGGCUGCGUCUUCGCCUACGGUCAGACCGGUAGCGGAAAGACGUACACAAUGAUGGGGCCGCCAGGAGUGUUUGGUGCAACCUUCGGUGGCGCGCCUGCACAGGUGAGGACCGUGGCCCCCGCCAAGAAAUUCCGCCGCGCUGCCACCGCGUACAACAGCCAGCUGCGCUGGACGCCGGAAGCGAGUUCCGACGAUGUUAUGGACUCGCGCUUCCAGUCCUUUCUCUCCGUGACGCCUCGCGCGCAUGUGCGUACACCCUGCAGUGGCGGCCACAUGGACACCAUGUCGAUGGCGGGGGAUGCACCCUUGCCGAUGGAUUGCAGCCUGUCAGUGAGCUCGGAUGUGCUGCUGCAGCGGUCCCGACGCGGCAGCCGCCGCGACAGCAACGCUCUCUGCCUGGGAGAGGAGGAGAACCUUCAAGGCAUCGUGCCGCGUCUUGUGCGAGAGCUUUUCGCGGAGCUGCACCAGAAGCGCGAGCAGGACAGCAGCCACUCCUUCCGCGUCGAGGUGGAGUACUAUGAGAUCUACCGCGAGAAAGUCAUGGACCUCCUCAGCAGCAGCAGCGCCGCCGCCGCCGGCGCCAACGGCAGCGGCAGCGUAGAGCUGCGCGUGCGACACAGCAAGUCUGCUGGUCCGUAUGUAGAAAAUUUGACAAAGAAGCACGUGGACGAUGAGGGAGAAGUCUUUCGGCUCCUGCGGCACGGCAACCUGCGCCGGCACACAGCCUCGACGGCGAUAAAUGAUCGAAGUAGUCGCAGUCACGCCAUCUUCGUGCUGCACCUCGUGCAGAUGCGCAUCUCCGACGACGACAGCGCCUCCGCGAAGGUGUCGAGUAAGGUGAACCUCGUCGACCUUGCCGGGUCGGAGCGGACGGGAGCGCACAGCGUGGAGGGGGACCAGUUCAAGGAGGGCGUCGUGAUCAACUCAUCCCUGACGGUUCUCGGCCGCGUAAUUGACGCUCUUGCCGACAAGUCGUCAGGCAAGCGCAACGUCUUCUGCCCGUACCGCGACUCUGUUCUCACGUGGCUGCUCAUGGACUCGCUCGGCGGGAACAGCAAGACGACCAUGGUGGCGACAGUGUCUCCGCACUCAUCCAACUUCGAUGAGGCGUGCCAGACGCUGCGGUACGCAAGUCGGGCGAAGCAGAUUGUCACUAAGGUGGUCGUCAACGAGGACCCGCAGGUGCGGCAGAUCAAGCUGCUCACCGCCGAGGUGCAGCGACUCAAGGCGCGGUUGAGCGCUGAGGGCAAGGCCGUGGACAACGAUGACGACGUCGAGGUCCUGCAAGAGCGCAUUGCUGCAUUGGAGGAGGAGUUGAACGAAACGCGCAACCAGCUGGAUCAGAAGUCGAGCGAGCUUGCGGCUAUCUGCGCCUCCCGGCACACCUCGUCGACGCUGCCCUCGACGCUCAAGGCGGGCAACGCCGGCGCUGCGGGCACGGCGAAGGAGCUGGCGAAGGCCAGGUCGGACGUGCGCCGCUUGGAGGCUGAGAAUUUGCUGCAUCUGCAGACCGAGCAGGAGCUGCGAGACACGAUGGAGCGUCUCAAGACACUGGAGAGAAAGUACGGACAGCUGCUCAGUGAAUCCAAGGAGGCGCAAGACACUGUCAAGAAGCGGGACAGGGAGAUUCAGGAAAAGGAUAGGCGCAUCAGUGAGUUGCAGCAUCAGCUGCAGCAGCAGGCUGCUCAGAUGCAGGCCGACUCGCCGCUCACAUCCAACCCCAGCGCCUUGUCACCACGGUCAGUCUGGGGGAAGUCCGGCGAGACGGUGUCUACAGCGACCGCCACCGGCAUACCACCGAUGGCCCUCACAGUGAACGCGAAUGAGUCUGGCAAGGCUGCUGGGAAGAAGACAAAGAAAGCGAAGGCCGGCGCCGCGUCAGCGUCGACCGCCGCAGCGCCGCCGGGGUCUCCGCAGCGUCGCGAGUCAGAAUGGCUCAAUGAGAUUUCACGGAUUCGGGCGCAGUUCGAGGAGGACAAGAAGCAGCUUGUGACGCAGAUGCAGGAGCGCAACGACGCCUUUCGCAAGAGUCAGCUUGAGGUGAAGUGGCUAAAGAGCGAGCUGAAAAGUGAGCAGGACGCGCUGCGCACGGUAGAGAAGAGCCUGCACGACCAGCAUGCCGAGGCAACGCGACGGCUGCAGGAGGAGGUGCAGGAGCUGAAGCGCGCACUCAAGGACGAGCGCCGGAACAACAAGGAUCUGCGUCAGUCGCUUACGGCCCCGGAAGAGGUGCAACCGCCGUUCUCGUAUGCAUAUGUGGCUCAGACUGUUUACGACGAAGAGAGGUGGCGCGGUGACGUGCAACAGCAGGAGGCAUCGGCGUGGCAGCACGUGAUGCAGGUCUGGCAGCUCUCUCAAGUGGAAGCGGCGAAGAUGGCCGCCGUGGAGCAGCAGCACGCUGCACAGCUCGCAGCGUUGUCGGAGGCUCACAGGACGAGCGAAAGCAUCGUCAGCACCAUACGUCAGGAGCUGGAGGAGAUGCGCGCCGUGCAGGAGAAGGCUAACGCGCUGCGCGAACGCAUCUCCGAGCUUGAGGAUGCAGCGACGCAGCAGAGGGAGAGGGAGAAGCACCUACGAGAGCAGGUUUCCGAUCUAGAAGGACAGCUAUGCCAAGAGCAGGAGCGCGGCAAGACUGCCUUGCAGCGCCUGGAAGCGGAGCUGAAGGAUCAGAGGCGCGCUGUAGCCACUGCGGAGGAGGCCGCGGCCUCCUUGAAGGCCGCGCACGCUGGAGAAAAGCAGCAGGCGGAAUCUGCGAUGAGAGCGGAACAGGAGCAACAUGCCACAGCUGUGGCAUCACUGCAGGCACAGAUCCGACAGGCAGAGGAUAAAUUGCACAACUCCGAAGAAGCGCAUAGAGCGCAGGUGCGGCGGGGGCUUGAGCAGGCAAGCGAGCAUGAGGCCGCUCUCGCGAUGCUGCGGUCGCAGCUCGAGUCGAGCAAAAAGGCUGCCGCUACUGCGGAAGAAGUUCAUCGAGGUGAACGGGUGGCGUUGGAGCAGAGGCUCAAGCAGCAAGAGGAAGCGUUCGCCUCUCGUGCUUCUGUCCUUGAGCAGGAGCUGGCGGCGGCUCGCAUGCAACUCGACCGGGAUAGUCGUGCAUCUGCCAAGGCGCUCUCGGAGCUGGAAGAGCAGCUCACAGCGGCGCAGGCGGCGCACAACGCGUCCGCCGAGGCCCUUCGACUCAAGGUUGAGCGCGCCAUGGCACAGGCCGCCGACCACGAGAAGGCGGCGCAGCUGCUUCGCAGAGACCUGGACACGGAGAGAGCGGCGGCGCAGACCGCAGCGCAGGAGCAUGCCGCUCUUGCGGCAAACCUAGCAGAGGAGCUGCAGACGCAGCGGAAGCAACGCGAGGAAAUCAGCGCAUCUCUCACACAGCAACUGGCGGAGCUGCAGUCGAGACUGGCGGUCGCCGAGGAAACGCGCCGCACGGAGCGCAAGCGCGCUGCCGACGCGGCAGCGGCUCAGGAGACCGUUCUGGCCGGCCUCCGCGCUGAGCUCGAGUCGGUGCAGGCAGCCCACACCGCCGCGGCACAGGCACAUGAAGAGCAGCUGCGCGAGGUGCGUGGUACACAGGCGCGCCUUACACAAGAAGCGCAGUCGAAUGCCGAUUCUCUGGCCGCUCAGGUGAUGGAGCUGCAAACUCGCUUGGCUGCCGCGGGGAGGGAUUCCGAGAAUGCACUGAGAAAGCUCACGGAGGAGAUGGAGGCGAUUCGCACCCAGCUCCACAAGUCAGAAGAGGCGCGUCGGCACCAGAUCCAGCGAUCCAUUGAGCGGGCUGCGCAGCAUGACGCCGCGUUGGCGGAGCUGCGGCAACAAGUGGCAGAGGAGCAGGCUGCCAAGGCAGCUGCAGCGAAGAGACACAAAGAGGAGCUGCUCAAGGCCGAGGACAAGUUUUCGGCGCAUCAUCUGGAAACCUCGGAAACCAUCAGCGCUCUCAAGCAGCAGCUCGAGCAGGCCCACCACAGUGCACAGCAACGCGAGGCCGAUGCGGCAGCGCUGCAGCAGAUCCUUCAGCGUGAGUUGGACUGCACGAGAGCCGAACUGGAGGCCUCUGAGAAAGCUCGAGCGGCGCAUAUUCAACGGAGCGUCGAAAAGGCGGCAGCGCACGAGCAGACGGAGGCCAAGCUUCGGGCGGAGAUUUCCUGCUUGGCAGCAAAAGCCGAUGCGACAGACGCGGCGCACUCGACCUGGGUGGCAGAGUUGCAAGAGCGCCUUCACGAGCAGCAGUGCGCAGCCGCAGCGCAGCUGGCCGAUGCGACCGCAGCGCUGGAAAGCGAAAGGGCGAAGGCCCAGCAUGCGUCGGAAGACCACAAAAAGGUUCUCGCCGCUGCCCUCGAUAAGGUUGCCUCGCUGCAGGCGGCGCUCGCCAAGUCUGAAGAAGCCGAAAGGGUGCAGGCUCAGCGCUUAGUCGAGCAGUCCGCGGCGCACGAUAGCGCGAUUCAGGCUGCAAGGCGGGAUUUGCAACGUCAGCAGGCGGAGGCGGCCGACACAGCUGCGGCGCACGCGGAGGAGCUGCGCGUGUGGGAGGCCAGGUGGCAACAACAGGCCGCAUCGAGCAAAGUCGAGAUAGAGUCCAUUCGCCAGGAGGCUGAAGCGCAGCGACGCGCUGAAGUGGACGCCGCGGUGAAGGCGCACACGUCUGCCGUAGACGCCCUGGAAACCACCCUCAACGAGAUGCGCAUUCGGCUCGGCGAGGUGGAGGCGUCACGCACCGCGGAAGCGGUGCGCCGUGAGCAGCAGGCCAGUGAGCACGCCAAAGCUGUGUCUGCACUGCAAGCUGAGCUGCAAGGUGCUCACCAAGCGAGUGCCGCAGCGGCAGCCGCGCACAAGGCUGCCGUUGAACAGCUCAACGACGUCAUUGCAGAGCAGCAACGGGCCAAGAUUGAGGAGGUCGCCGCCAUCAAACAGAAGCUACUGGAGACUCAGAGGAAGCUUACCAGAUCAGAGGAGGCGAGGAGACGAGGGGUUACAGAAAGAGCUGAGGUGGCGACGGCGCACACCCAGUCACUUGACGCGCUCCGUCGCUCCAUGGAAGCUGAGCAUCAACAGAAACUGGAUGCCCUCACGGCGGCCAAGGCAAGAGAACUGGAGGCGGUGCAGAUGCAGCUCGACGAGCAGAGGGUCGUCGCACAACAGCUCCAGGGGGACCUCCGAGACACUCGUCGUCAGGUACAGCAGUUGGUGGAGACCCAGAACUACGUAGGCAAGCAAGUGGAGGCGGAAAAACAGGCGAACGCCGAACUCCGCCGUAACUUGGCAGACACCGCGGCGCAGCAGGCGGCUAGCGCGGCAGCUGCCACGGAGCUGGAGGCGACGUUGGAGCAGGCAAAGGCUUCCCUUACGCAGCUCGUCGCGGAGAAGACGGCGGUGUCGACGGAGCUCACCCGGGCCAUCGAGACGGCGGAGAGCACACGUGCUCACCUUGCAGACGUGGAGAAAAUAUCGCAGCAGCGCCACGAAGAGCUGGAGGCGCAGGGAUCUGCCCUUGCCAACGCCGUCGCGACAGUGGAGCAGCUGCGGGCAGAGGUAUCUGCGUUGCACUCGAAGUGCGCAGACAUGGAGAAGGCGCGGGCUGCUCUCAUCGAGCAGCAUGAGGAGGCGCUAGUGGCGCAGCAGGUAGACACCGUCACGGAAAUGGAGACGCAGUUCCGGGCGAUGGAACGUGAACGCGAGGCGCUGGUGAGCAAGGCACGGCAGACAGAGGAGGCGCUGCGCAGCGUCGUCGAGAAGCAGGGGAAGCAACUUCAGCAGCUGCGCGAAGACCUGGAGUUUCGCGCCAGUCUGGAUCUGUGUGAGGCUGAAGUUGUGGAACGCGACAGCGCCGCCGGUGCCGUCGGCAGCUCAGCCAGGCUCGCUCUCGCCGGCAGUGGGACAGGCGUCGCUACUUCGACCAAUACCUCCUUUUCGGGCGCCAGCGGCUCCGCUGCCGUGGUCGGCGGCGGUGGCUUCAGCACCAUUUUGAGCUCGCUCUUCUUGCGCCGCAACAGCACUGCGGCGCCGUCCAGCUCCCCCGCACCCCUUGGCAGUGGCAUCGGGACUGACGGUGCUCACGGCCUUCCACACCCGCUGCCGCGUCCCUUCUCGAACGAUCGUGGCACCGCUACGACGCCGCUUCGGCGCAACGCUAGCGGCAACCUAUAUAGCAUGAGCGCAUACCGCCCUUCCUCCAUGAUGCCGUCGUCGCUCCUCUUCGGAAAGAGCAACCCCGCUGGGACGGUGGCGAUGGGUACUAGUGCUGGGGUAUCACCUGCGUCGCGCACCCCCGUGCAAGAUGCGGUCAUUCCGCCUCAUACAAGUGAACAAGAGUCGGCACUGCCCACGCGGCUGGGCAGCCGCGCUCCGAACAUCGCGCUGGGCCGGAAGUAAGCGGGAGCGAGCCAGCCCUCUGUCCAGCUUCUUUUUGUGUCCUCCGCGCCCCACCCACUCGAGCAGUUUGGCGUGUGUCGCGCAACAGUGAAGGAAGGAUGUGCCUCGUUCUUGCCCGCAUUUGGCCGUCCGCCCCGCUACUUUCCUUUUGCGUUCUUGUCUGCCUUCUGUCCUACGGCUUGGACGAGAUUGGGGAGGCUGGCCCGCCGUACCCUCUUCGAAGGAGAGCUGAAGGGACUUGCCCCAGCUCCACGAUGCUGCAUUCCCGUUCGCAGGGUCUUUCUUCGCUUAUUUAGGCUUUCCUGUUAGUUUUGAGGACACAUCUCAGUGCGUGGGGAGGAGGGGGUAUCCAGGGCCCAGUGCCCACAUACACACACUCACACCUGCUUCCUCCCCAUCCCUGCCGGUGCCAAGGCACUUCUGGUGAUGGUAGCGUCAAGUGCCUACGACGCAGCGGGGUCAGCGCGACUCCUCGCUGCCGACGUCGGCGGCCGUGGUGUGCAUGGGACUGCCUUGGUGCGACCUGCGACAGCGAGCACGUUUGCGCCAUCCACAUGCCCGGCAACGUGCCAGCGCAACUCGAACGUAUCCCACCCGCCCACCCGACUCUCACUGCCCACCGGUGUGCAGCCUGCGAGGCGGGGGCGGGCGGAGUUGGAGACAGAGGCCGCGCUCAGGUCACUGAGUCGGUGCAUUGCCGUGACGCGUGUGUCUAGCGCUGCUUGGCAGCGUGCGAUAGGGCCCGUGACAGGCCUACAGUAGAGCUGGCCUCGUCUUGUGCGGCGGAGAACGGUGAGCCUUGAAAUAAAGCAUCGUUUUAUUGUGGAUUCUUAAUCCACUCGGUCGCGACCCCCUCCCCUGCGUAUGGCCUGCGUGCGACGUUGUCCGGAGACAACCGACUUAUGUACGGCGCUAUCCUACCCCCCCCUCUUCCCUGCCACUCCUGGCCCUGCCUCCCUCACAACUCGAUCCUGUUCCUCUGUGUCAUGUACGCCGCCAGCGGUUAAGCUUGCACACGUUACUGUGUUGGCGUGGGCCGACGCGGCCUCGUUUUCGAAGGUUGUUGUUGUUGUCAGUGUCGUCACGCGUUUGGCGUUUUGUGGCGCUUGG